GGAAUAUUGGUCAAUGGAGGCAACUCUGAACCAGCCAUGCCGCGUGCAGGAUGAAGGCCCUAUGGGUCGUAAACUGCUUUUAUACCAGAGAAAACCCUUCCACGUGUGGAAGGUUGAUAGUAUGGUAAGAAUAAGCAUCGGCUAACUUCGUGCCAGCAGCCGCGGUAAGACGAAGGAUGCAAGCGUUAUCCGGAUUCAUUGGGUUUAAAGGGUGCGUAGGCGGACUUGUAAGUCAGUGGUGAAAUCUCUCAGCUUAACUGAGAAACUGCCAUUGAUACUGCAGGUCUAGAGUAUAGAUGACGUUGGCGGAAUAUGACAUGUAGUGGUGAAAUACUUAGAUAUGUCAUAGAACACCGAUUGCGAAGGCAGCUAACGAAACUAUAACUGACGCUGAGGCACGAAAGUGCGGGGAUCAAACAGGAUUAGAUACCCUGGUAGUCCGCACCGUAAAC
rnacentral:rRNA from 1 species